rnacentral:rRNA from 1 species
GACAGAGGUCCCGAGCGUUAGGCGGAAUCACUGGGCUUAAAGCGUGUGUAGGCGGACUUCUAAGUACCUUGUGAAAUCCCACGGCUUAACCGUGGAACUGCUUGGUAUACUGGUUGUCUUGGGCCAUCUAGGGGCUACCGGAACAAACGGUGGAGCGGUGAAAUGCGUAGAUAUCGUUUGGAACGCCAAUGGUGAAAACAG